CUCCAGUCUGUACUUGUAAUACCUGCAACUCCAAUGUGAUUUGCCAUCACACAUGUCAUGGGGAAAGGAGAAGGCAUGAGAAAUCCCUUGAAUCAUUUGAAGGAAAGAUUAGUCCCACUCCACUGAAGCCCUUGGCCUACAGAUGUCCCCUAGGAGACCUUUAGUAAACAUCAGACAAGAAUGGCAGUAGAAUUUUCAUUGCAUUCUCUCAGGAUCAGAAGAGAGAUCCCACAAAGGUUCCUUAAUGCUGCUUGGAGGCUGGUCUCUGCCCUCAUCCCUCCUUUCCAGAGCCACAGGCAGUAGGCAGUUGUGGGGACAACCUACUCUCCCUUCUCCUGCUCCGACGGGAUCACUGGGACCAGGUUUUUAAGGCACUGUGCUGGCUGGGAUCUGCAUUCUGUCCCUGCUUCCACAAGGAGUAUGAGGAACACCGAGCAGCACCACCACAGCUUGUUUCUCCUCAACACAAGCUGUCAGUGUUGUGUCUGGAUCACUGCACUGCAACGUGGACGGACACAGGACACACGAUAUGUGGAAAAUCCUUAAAACUGCAGUCCUGUGGUACCUUCCCAAAUUCUGGAAGACAACGAGCAGCUACCUCAGCAAGAACCUUGCUGGAACCUCUCUCUGACCACCAGGACAUGCUAUUGGCAUCCAGGUUUUUGGGAAAUGGGACAGAGAUGAGCAGGUAGGCUAUGGCAAAUGACUCCAGGUAAGUGUCAUGGAAGCUGCAGCAUGUCUGGAAUCUGGCAUUUGAUAUGGGAGUAGGAUUGGGAGCCUGAAUUAAAGGGUGUGUUUAGUGAGGACAUGCCAGCUCCAGGUAUCAUGUGAUAGUCAAUUGUAUUGUCACACUGCU
rnacentral:lncRNA from 1 species